rnacentral:rRNA from 1 species
UACGGAGGAUGCGAGCGUUAUCCGGAUUUAUUGGGUUUAAAGGGUGCGUAGGCGGUUCGUCGCGUCCGGUGUGAAAGUCCAUCGCUUAACGGUGGAUCCGCGCCGGGUACGGGCGGGCUUGAGUGCGGUAGGGGAGACUGGAAUUCCCGGCGUAACGGUGGAAUGUGUAGAUAUCGGGAAGAACACCAAUGGCGAAGGCAGGUCUCUGGGCCGUUACUGACGCUGAGGAGCGAAAGCGUGGGGAGCGAACAGG